UCAGAUUUUCCAUACAGCUGCACCCAAGUGACAGCCACACCUGUUCAGAUCUUUUAUACAGCUGCACCAAUGACAGCCACACCUGUUCAGAUCUUUUACACAGCCACACUUGUCACAGGGUUCCCACCCUUUUUCAUUGACAACAUUUCAAAACCUUCCCAUGACUCCUCAAGGACCUUUAAUGACAUUUCUAUGCCUUUCAUAACCUACAAGUACACAAAAGUGCGUAGUUUACUCGACAGGUUGGGCCCUAUUGUGAAUGAAGAUUAAACAGCAGCCAUUUCCAUUCCUUGUCUAAUAGACUUGUUAGUCAAUUCAAUUGGAAACCGUAUCACACUGCAGAAAUGAACAUUAGUCCAACUAAACAUUAUCCAUCGAAAAGAACAAGAACAUCAUUAUUUUCAUUAAAAUUUCACAGAUUUUCCAAAACCUUCAAUGAAUUUACUGCAUUUCACAACUUUUUUGAGGCUUGGAAAAUGGAAUUUUAAAAUUCCAUGCCUUUCCCAGGAUUUCCAUGAGCGUGGGAACGAUGCUCUCCUUAUUCCUUAAGCUUAUGAGUCCUCAUCGACUUAUUGAGAGCCACGGUUAUGGGGAUAUUAUUGCAGCAGAAUUAUUUGCUAAUGUGUGUGAAGAGUUGUGCGACUGUAUCUCAAUCCGUGCGUGAAAUCAGCUUUUUGUGUAUUGAGAUUUCUUCAGAUUGAGAAUCUUAAAAUGCGUACGUAGAUAUAAAUGCCUGAAAAGUCUAACGGUGCAAACCCAUGACACCGUUACGAGCGACGCGAUAUUCUAAUCCCAUGCAUUUCAACGGGAGCCAAUCCAUUGUGACGUAAACCACCGUUUUGGCCGAUAAAAGUUGGAAAAUGUUGAAUCCUAUGCAAAUGAGGAGCGAUUUUUCCCGGCAGCAGCCAAUCAGAUUGUUUGGUGUCGUCUCUGAUGGUUUGAAAAUGAUAUUUCCACACACUACAACACGCCCACAGCGAUGGAAGCGUAUCGCGUCGCUGUCAUGGGUUUGCACCGUAAGUGUUUUGCUCCAACAGCUGGAAAACUUUAAACUUCUCAUUCUAACAGGGCAUACUGAAUGUGUGUGUGUGUGUGUGUGUGUGUGUGUGUGUGUGUGUGUCGCGAGCCCAGGUGCCCUGACCUGUCUGUAGUUGUUCACCCUGAGCGGAGGUAAGACAAGCUGAAGAAGCCAUUUUUCAUCACUUGUCUCACGCAUUUUGUUAAAUAAAAAAAUGCGGCACUCAAACUGCAAGGAUGCUGUUGCAAAACGACAGCCGCUUCAGCUUGCCGUACCUCAGCAAAUUUGCAGAUUCCUGUCCAAAACUCAGUACGCAUUUAGCGAUUCUUCUACACGUUUACAAAGCUGAUUACGCACACACAUGGAUUGAGAUACAGUUACACAACUCUCCCCACACAAUUGCAAAUAAUUCUGCCACAAUAAACCCCCAUACACGGCAGCCUCAUGAUCUCUCUUGUUGUGCUGAGCACAGACUGUCUGUGGCAGUCACCCAGGUUAAGGCCUGCUCGUGGAACAGAUCGACCGGAUGGCACACACACUGUUUCAGAAGCUGUGAGAGACCCAGGAAUAGCCCAGCCGAUUCAGCAGAUGACCAUGGGCAGUUAGCCCUUCCUCUUCAUCAUCAUCAUCAUCAUCAACUUCCUCCUUCUCCAGUUUCCCUUCACUGGUACGUGCCAGUGUCCGGUCCCUGCGUGCCGUGCAGCGUGUACGGCGCCCUCUGCUGGGCAAACCUGUCUCCGGCAGCGUACGCCUGCGCCGACAGACUGUGGCCGCUGCUCCCCGCCAGUGUCCCCGCCCACCGCUGCGUUUACCGCCGACAGCCCCUGGUGAGACCCCGCCCCAAAUGCAUAAGCCGCACCCACUCCACCUCCAAACUGUAGCCCCGCCCUGCCCUGCUGCUGCUGCUGCUGCUGCUGUUGUUGCAGCCUACCUCCCAGUCUCUGCUGUUGCCCGGCAACGCCUGCCUGCAUCUGAACCUGCAUCUGCAGCCCAGCGACCCUCUGCACAGUCUGUCCCACCUGUGCAGCGCCGGCUGCAGUGGAGGAGGCUGCGGCUGCAACUGCAGUGACUGCGCCGGCUGUCUGCGCCCCCAUGAGGCAGGCCUGCAUCUUGCGCUUGGCCCUCCAGCGCGCCACGCGCAGCCGCGUCUUCUCGCGCCGCUCCUUCACCAGGUCGGCGAGCAGCGCCUGCGGCAGGUCCUGCUCCAGCUGCUUCCGGCGCACCUGGCGCGGCGGCGCAGCUCGGCCCGCGCCUGCUUGUACUGCUCGUACAGGCCCAGGUCCCGCAGCCACGGGCGCCCCUGCCGCACGCCCGCCCA
ensembl:lncRNA